rnacentral:rRNA from 1 species
GACGAACGCUGGCGGCGUGCUUAACACAUGCAAGUCGAGCGGUAAGGCCCUUUCGGGGGUACGACGAGCGGCGAACGGGUGAGUAACACGUGGGUGACCUGCCCUCAGCUCUGGGAUAAGCCCGGGAAACUGGGUCUAAUACCGGAUAUGACUCCAUGACGCAUGUUGUGGGGUGGAAAGCCUUGUGCGGCUGAGGAUGGGCCCGCGGCCUAUCAGCUUGUUGGUGGGGUGAUGGCCACCAAGGCGACGACGGGUAGCCGGCCUGAGAGGGCGACCGGCCACACUGGGACUGAGACACGGCCCAGACUCCUACGGGGAGGCAGCAGUGGGGAAUCUUGCGCAAUGGGCGAAAGCCUGACGCAGCGACGCCGCGU